rnacentral:lncRNA from 10 species
CGGUGCAGGGCAUAACCCUGCCCAUGACAGCCCUGGUUCAUUUCUGAACUGGUUGAAGGCUGCCUCCCUCUGCCCUUGACGCCGCACCACCUUCCUGCCUGGAUCCUCUGCUCCCAUGUGCUGUCCACAUGCUGCUCGAGGACUCCUUCUAAUGCGCCACCUAUCCUGCUUCUCAGCCCUCAGUGAAGCCCAGUUCCUUCACAGGACGCAGGAAUCCUUCUCGAACCUGGCCCUACCUUUCUCGCCUGCCUGUGUUCCUUCCAUACUUCUUGUCUUGCGCUUGUCCCAGUGGGUGCUGAACUGCUGUGACCUGGCUGUGCUGUUUCCUGCCUCGAUACCUCUGCUUCUAUUUAUGCCCUCACCCUGAGUUUUUUGCCUUUGCCUGCCUACCCCUUAUUCAUUCUUCAAAAUUGACAGUGAGAGGGAGACUUUUGUGGUUCCUUGAAUUCCAUCCCAGCUCUGGCUUCUGGACCAGAGAGACUUGCGUGCACGCACAGAACCCAGCGCAGGCAGACGGCAUGUGGACAGAUCACAUCAGCACAGCGGCCCUUUGUGAGGAACAAUGACAAUGACUUCCACCUCUUCCGGGGAGAAGCCCAGAUGAGGAGGUCAGUUGCUGUGGCCUGUCAGCCCUAGAGGUGAUGUCACCGUCUCCCGAGGACAAAACCUUCAUUUAGCUGCAAGAGGGAACAGUU